GAUGAACGCUGGCGGCGUGCUUAACACAUGCAAGUCGAACGGAAAGGCCCCUUUGGGGGUACUCGAGUGGCGAACGGGUGAGUAACACGUGAGUAAGCAGCCCGUGGCUUCGGGAUAAGUACAGGAAACUGGGGCAAAAACUGGAGAGGAAUCAUUGCUGCAUGGGGGGGGUUGGAAAGCUUCGUCGGGUUUGGCUGGACUCGCGGCUUAUCGGCGUGUUGGUGGGGUGGUGGCUUACCAAGGCUGUGACGCGAAGCAGCACUGAGGGGGCGACCGGCCACCCUGGGUCUGAGAGACGGCACCGCCUCGUACGUGUGGCAGAUGUGCGGAAGCUUGCCCCAUCAGCGCCAGCCUGAUGCAGCAGCGCCUCGGGCGGUAUGACGCUCUUCGGAGUGUAAACCGCGUUCAGCAGGAGCGAAGCUUGUGGUGACGGUACCUGCAGAAGAAGCACCGGCUAACUACGUG
rnacentral:rRNA from 1 species